GUAGCGCAGCUGGUAGAGCUGUUGCCUUGCAGCAACAGGUUCUGGGUUCAAUUCCCAGC
rnacentral:tRNA from 1 species